rnacentral:misc_RNA from 1 species
CCAAAUCUACGGCCGAAAGGCCUUGCCCUAGGUGGGGAAACCCACCGACGGUAAACCCUUUGUGAAAACCCUCUUGUUUGCCUCGGCGGCACACGCCCUCACGGGUGUGGUCAGCCCGCCGACGGCACCCAACCAAAACUCUUUUUGAAUUGAAGAAUUUGUCUGAAUCAAUGGUCGAAUGACUAUA